UUUCCGUAGGUGAACCUGCGGAAGGAUCAUUGUCGAAACACGCCGAGUAGGGUGACUUGAGAACUUGUAAACUCCCGGCGCCACGUGCGUCAAGGAAUGCCAAAUUGAGAUUGCUAGCCUCUACAGCUCUUUUGGUGCUCGUUGGGCUGUGUAAGCACCUUCAGUUAUUAAAGACUCUCGGCAACGGAUAUCUUGACUCUUGCAUUGAUGAAGGACGUAGCGAAAUGCGAUACUUGGUGUGAAUUGCAGAAUCCCGCGAACCAUUGAAUCUUUGAAUGCAAGUUGCGCUUGAAGCCUUUGUUGGCUGAGGGCACGUCUGCUUGGGUGUCUUGCAUUGUGUCGCCCCACUCGUGCUUUGGAGGAGGAGCGGAGCCUGGCCUCCCGUGACCCCCACGUGGGUGUGGUUGGCCGAAAUGUCUUGCCCUGAUGAUGGUGCUUGGCAAGGUGUGGUUGUAGCUUGUCCAAAAUGUCUUGUCUUGUCAUCUUGUUUGUGGCUGGUAGGGGGCCCGUUGAGCUCGUCUUCAGUUGCGACCCCAGGUCAGGCGGGACUACCCGCUGAGUUUAA
rnacentral:rRNA from 1 species